ACAGUAACAUCUGCAUAUCUUCUAAUCUGUGUCUAGUAGCAUGGUUCAUAUGUGUUCUACAUCUAGACUGUUGCUCACAGAUAUCCUGUGGCGUAAGAGCAGCUUGAGGUCGUAGUACUUGCCUAGUGAUGUCUAAAAACACCAACCAGCCACAAAGUUCUCCAAGUAUG